UCAGUGAGAAUAGUGUAUUUGUCCGCGUGUCUUUAUAUUUAAAACAUCUUUGCGUGAAGCACGUCGUUUGCUCGACACAGUCUAGACACAGUAAGAAAACAAACAAGAAGAGAGGAGUAAAUCAGUUGACUAUAAAUAUUGCAUUAUUCAACAAUCUGUUUUCAACUAUAGUAUACCAAGAAGCGCAGUGCUAGUUCAGCAACACAGAAAUAUACCUCAGAAGAAUCAACUUUCACCGCUGACCAGUGCGGUCGAGAAAAUUUCCGGCGAAUCCAAUGCAGCAACAACGUCCACUUGCAGUACCGCAAUACAAAGCCACAAAGCGAUCCAACAGCGUGGGAAAUUUUAUCAUCGCAAAAUUUUAUAUCAGCUCAACAGCUAUACCAAAAGCGAUACCACGUCGAUGGCCGAAAUGAUUUUUGGUUCUGCACCUAUAGUCUUCCAGGACAGCAGUUUGAAGCCAACAGUAGCAGCAACAGCAGUAAAAAAGUAUCCACUUCCACCUACUUGGGCUAUGAACUGCCAAGUAUCGGUCAGAAUGCACUAUACAACGGCCGACAUACGUCGAAAAGUGAUCGUAGCUCCAUAGGUACAACGUCACUACGGUCGUUUACUGUUACUUCGUCCACUUUGACGUAAUAUGAUACUUCGUACAACCACAGACAAAGGCCACCACUGCCAAUCGAGUUUGCGCAUUUGGAGCAUCUGGCAGAUCCGAGACUUUCAACCAAAAGUGGCCUUGACUCAGGGUAUGGUGGAACGGAACCUUGGGCGUUUUCAUCAAGUCAACCACGCCAUCGCACCGAAACAGUCUAGCAUCAAUUUCUAGUGAUUUCGAGUGUUUUCGAAGACUUAGUUUAGAUACCAGUAUUGAUAUUCCACAGCCUCUGAAUUGCACAAGUUUAGACGACUAUAGUCAGUAUGGCAGCUUUCAUCGAGGUCAAUACGACCGGUUCGGUGAACAUUAGCAGUCAAGUGACAGCGAGCGAUGGUUGCGCCGGUGGUAAAAAUCG